CUUUCUUCCUUUCAAAGACAAAUUGAACCCAGUUCCCUCUCUAAAGCUAUCUCCUUCUACUUCGACCAAGCCUCAUCUCCUUUCUCCUGACUCUGAUAAUGUGCUUUUCUAUGCUUUACCUGUAGGUCCUUAUCAUCCAUGAUCAUACCACUAAUUACAGUUUUGUGUAUCCAUCUUGCCUCCUCAGGGAGAUGAAAUGUUACUUCAGAUCUCCAUCUUUGCUAUGUUUUUGUCUUUCCAGAGUCUUCCCAUCUUUCUCGACCAGAUCAGAUUCUUC
ensembl:lncRNA